GGGGAAUAUUGCGCAAUGGGGGGAACCCUGACGCAGCCAUGCCGCGUGAAUGAAGAAGGCCUUAGGGUUGUAAAGUUCUUUCGGUAUUGAGGAAGGUUGAUGUGUUAAUAGCACAUCAAAUUGACGUUAAAUACAGAAGAAGCACCGGCUAACUCCGUGCCAGCAGCCGCGGUAAUACGGAGGGUGCGAGCGUUAAUCGGAAUAACUGGGCGUAAAGGGCACGCAGGCGGUUAUUUAAGUGAGGUGUGAAAGCCCUGGGCUUAACCUAGGAAUUGCAUUUCAGACUGGGUAACUAGAGUACUUUAGGGAGGGGUAGAAUUCCACGUGUAGCGGUGAAAUGCGUAGAGAUGUGGAGGAAUACCGAAGGCGAGGGCAGCCCCUUGGGAAUGUACUGACGCUCAUGUGCGAAAGCGUGGGGAGCAAACAGGAUUAGAUACCCUGGUAGUCCACGCUGUAAACGCUGUCGAUUUGGGGGUUGGGGUUUAACUCUGGCGCCCGUAGCUAACGUGAUAAAUCGACCGCCUGGGGAGUACGGCCGCAAGGUUA
rnacentral:rRNA from 1 species